AUGAUUAAAUCUUGGCUCGGUUUACAAGAUGUGCACCCAGCGAACUGGGGUGGUUUGACUUCGGUCAAGGAGUGGUGGCGCGCCAAUGCUUCUGGGACCUCACGACCACGAAGGGCGCUGACUUCCAUUAUGCUACUGAUUUCUUGGGAAAUAUGGAAAGAGCGAAAUGCACGUGUGUUCCGUAACAACGCAAUUUUAGUGGGUGUGCUUGUUGCUCGAAUCAAAGAGGAAGCCUCAUAGUGGUGCCGUGCCGGGGCAAAAUAUUUGUGUAAUGUAAUGCCGCGAGAGUGA
rnacentral:rRNA from 1 species